AGCGUCAGUUUCAAAAGGCCAUGUGGUGUAAUCACCACCAUGCAAACAUGUGGCCUUGGGCAAGUCAUCUAACUGCUAAGAGCCUUAGUUUCUUCAUCAAUAAAUUCAGAAAAAUAAGGCCUGUUAUUUACUAAAAUGUGCAUUUAUUAUUUUUAUAUAUGCUUGUACUUAUUUUAAAUGAUAAAGUCUUACAAGAUAGCUCACAGAAACUAGUUCAAUUAUGCUGAGGUGUGCUGAUCUUAAUGGGACCAUCAGAUCCACCCAGAUAGGGAGAAUCUUGUAGGACUAGUUAGUUCAGCUGAGCUUCUUAAUCCUGAUUGCAAUGGGUGGUUUUACCAAAGAGGUGCCUGAGGAAGAGUUAGCGUUGCUUUCCUUUACCACUUUUUUGACUCCAAAUAGGCAACUACAAAGUGGUCAUGCCAUUUUAAUAGGUUUCAUUGUGUUGCUUGUUGCCAAUUUUAUACAAGCAAUGGUUUCACAUUUAUAUUAGUGAGAGAAUUCUAAUCUUUGGCAGAUAGGGGCUCUAUUUAUUUAUAGCUCUGUGUCUUAGUUUCUUCACCUGUCAGAUUGGGCCAAUAAUACAUGUCCUCCUUAAAGUGGAGUUGUGAGAUCACAAAAUAAAAGUGUUUUGAAAAGGGGAAAGCAGUAAUUCCAUGGAAAUUGUUUCUAUUUUGCCUUGUCUUUUAGUUUAGUACAGUGAUAGGCAACUGUUAGGCAUACAAUAAGCAAUUGUUCAAUGACCUAAAUGAUUAGAAGGUAACCUCUGGAUUGGAUCAGAACACUCAUUGUUGAAUCUCCACAGAUGAACAAGGCUGAUUGGCUCGUUCACUUCAAGGUUUAAAGAAAAAGAGCUGUGUAAUUGCAUACUUCUUCCCCUUAAAGGAGAUGUAUCUCCUAAUUAAACCAAUUGUAGUCUUUCUUCUGGACUAUGCAAGCCAUUAGGUAACACUUUAGUCACAAUGGAUACAUAGCAGGGUUUUUCAGCUUUGGCACUAUUGACAUUUUGGGCCGGAUAAGUCCUUGCUGUAGGGGCUAUCCUGUGCAUCCCUGAUCUCUACCCACUAGGUGCCUAUAUACACUCAGUACUCCCAUCCGCUCCCCCACAAUUGUGGAAACCAAAAAUAUCUAAAUCUCUCCUGGGGGAAGGGGACAAAUUUUUCCUCGGUUGAGUAGCACUGGGAAUAUAGAUUGAGAUACUAGAGUAGUAUACAAAUCAACCAUUAAAUAUUUGUUGGUUGAUUAAAUCACUCCUGUAACAGCUGUUUAUGGAUCACCUACCAGGUACCUAGUUCACUUGACCACAGCCAGGCCACACCGAAGUCUGACUUUUUUUUCCCCUAAAGGCUCAGAAUAAGAAGUGGAAAUGCUAUUUACUAAAAUGCACAUUAUUUUACCAAGGUCUGUAUUAGUCACAGUCUAGCGGAUUUAAAAACAUGAAUAGCUAUGUAUAAUAUGAGGUAGUAAAAUACACACUACUGUGAUAGAAUUAAGAACAUUGCUAUGAGAAUACAAGUUAACUCUUGUCUUAAGGUGUGGGUGGUUUUGGAAGGAUUCUCAGAGGAACACGACUAGGAUCUCAUAAGUACAAAUGAUUAUUUGUACAAAUUUUCCCAGCUGUGUAAAUUUCCUGUACAAUUAGUUGUUUUUGUUAUGUUAUAUAUUUUUAAGAGCUAAGUGUUUAUUAAGUUGGUUCUCCUUGAAGAUGGGAAUGAGUUUUGUGUUUAAAAAGUAGCAGGCAGGCUGAUGGACAGGUAUUGUGUUGGUGCACCACAUACUAUAGCUGUGAAUAAAACAGAUACAGACCCUGCCUCCAGAUGCAGAGGCUGCCUCCAGAAUAUCUAAAGCAUAAUUCUAGUCUUUUGUCCUUCCCUUACUUCAGGUACCUCUUUACGUAUGUAAUUCUCUCUCAUAGCCUCAGUUUUCCCAGGUAUGAAAGUAGGAGGCAGGAUGAGAUUAUCCCAAAGUGUCAGCAUCUGACCUCUUAUUAAUUAAAUAUUUCUUUUAUCGCCCACAGUCCUAAAUCACUAAGUUCUCAAGAAAAGUCAAUUGCUACUUGCCUUGUGGGAAUAAAAUAGAUUAAAAACCUUAUUCUGAUAUAGGUCCAUUCGAGGUUCCUGGAGAAUGGCACCACUUUCUCGGGGAAGAUAUUUUUGCCUAAUUGGAUAUAUUCAUUUGGAAGUAAGAGGACCUAGAAGAAAUGAGAAAUAAAGAAUAUCAGGUUCUAAAAAUAUUUAUUAUGUAAGUGCUGAGGCUCAUAUCUGGGAGAAUUAUAUCAGUCUUACGAGAUUCUAUUCCUGUAUAGGUGCCAUAACUAAAAGUUCUUUGUCCCACAGCUACGAACAAGGAUAUCACUCUCACAGGAUUUCUACCUAUUCUAUUUUUCUACGCAGCACAAAACUUGAUUAUUUCUUUCUCUGGAGACAAUGACUACUAAUAGUAAUAAAAGUAAUCCAUAAAGAUGAUUAAACCAUAGUUAUAAUUUGUAACCUAAAUACUGUAUAAAUUCUCAAACUAUUGCACAUGAAGUAUCUACUUGUUCCUCCCAAAAACAAUAUCACGUAGGUUAUGCAGAGGUCAUUAUUUUCAUUUUGUAUAUAGGGAGCUGAGAUUUAGAGAAGAUGAUGAACACAUUUGAAUUUUCACAGAAAAGAAGAUGCAGAGUCAUGAUUUUACUGAUGUUUUCACAACAUCAGGAUAUUGCAAAAUAUUCAAUAAUGAACAAAAUGAGUCAAAACCAAAGGUAAGCCACAGGGUAAGGGUAGAUAAUUGCAAUACACAUGCUAACAAAGGAUUUAUAUCCAAAAUAUAUAAAGAACUGCUACUAGUCAAUAAGUACAAGACAGACAACUCAACAGCAAAACUUGGGCAAAAAGCCUGAAUAGAAACUUCAUAAGAGUAUAUUUAAAUCACCGAUAAACUUAAGAAAAGUUGUUCAGCUCCAUUAGUCAUCAGGGAAGUGAAAGUUAAAAUCACAAUGCAAUGUCACUAUGCAUUAACCAGAAUGAUUCAAAUGAAAAAGGCAAACAUAUCUAAAGUUAGUGACCAUGUUGAGCAACAGAAACUCUUACACACUGCCUGCAGGAGCAUAUGUUGUUGCAAACACUUUGGGAAACUGUUUGGCAGUGUUGACUAAAGUUGGACAUUUUCAUAUCCUAUGACCCAGUUAUUCAGUCCUAGGUACCUAAAUGAACACUUGUCAACAUAUAUCAACAAAAGAAAAUCAUCUUUGAGAAUAUUUACAGCAACACUAUAAUGGUCUUAAAGUAGAAUAAUAUAAAUAUUUAUCCACAGAAGGACAGAUAGGCAAACUGUGAUGUGUUUAUAUAAUAAAAUAUUAUAUAGCAAUGAGAAUGAAAGACGCAACUGUAGUCAGCAACAUUAAUUUAUCUUAUAAACAUUGAGUUAGUGAGAGAAGCCCUAAGCAAAAGAGUGCCUAGAGUAUAAUCCUGUUAAUACAGAUUUUAGCAAGAGUUAAAAGUAAUCUUGGUGAUAGAAAUUAGAAUAAUAGUUACUUUUCGGGUGCAGAGAUCAGAUGAGGGUACAAGGGAUUCUGGGAAGCCGAUAAUGUUCAAUUUUAUGAUAUGGAUGCUGGUUAUACAGGUUUGUUCAAGUUUAUGAAAAUCCAUAAAACUGCACAUAUGUAAUUUGUAUACUUUUGUGUAUGUGUGUUAUUCCUCAAUACAAUUUUACUAAGUUUAACAAAUAAAGAACGGAGUCAUUAGGACACAAGGAAUAUCUCUGUAUGCCAAGAAGAGAGAUGACUUCAUGAGAAAUUACCAACAAGUUUUGGGGUGGCUUAAGAAAGUACAGCUGAGGAAAUGAAGAAUGAAAAAGGGGUAUAUCAGUAUGUGAAUAGACCACUGGGCACCUGCUCAGAUGAAAAAUAAAAAGGAACUGAUGUGGGUUUAGUAAAUUUCUGAAGGUCCAAUAGUUUGCAAGUGGUUCAGCUGGAAUUCCAAUCAAAAUCGUUUUAUUCCCUAGCUCCUGCUUCUUCAACUAUAUCAUCCCAGCAGGCAAUAUUUUACUUCAACCCUGAAAUAGUGAAGAAUAGGAAAAGCAGAAGGAGGAAAAAGAGUAGAUGUCAUCGAAAAAUGAUGUUAAAUAUUGGGUUAAAGUCAGCCUUUCACUAUAAGCUCUGUGAGGAUGCAGUCCGUAUUUAUCUUGCUAGCCUCUCUUGACCCAAGAAUAGUUCUUUAAUGGAAAGAAUGCAUAAAUGAGUUAAUGAAUGAUUGAAAAUAGAGGAGAAAGAAAACAGACUUGGGAAGAUUGCCACCCUCCAUCAAACUAACAAAGUCUUUUGUUUUCUUUGUUUUUUUUCAUAUUUUAAGUUAAUAAAUGAAUAGAAAAUUAUAUAUGUAAUUACAUAUUUAUGUAAUUAUGUAAUUUUGUUGUAUAUAUACAAUUUUAUAUACACAAGUAUAUACAAACACACACAUAAUAAUGUGUGUGUGUUUAUACACCCACCCUAUACAUACACACUUACUUGGCCUACAAAUUCAGGGAUCUCAAUAUCCCUAAUUACAGCUUACAUUGCAGGCUACACAGAAGCACUGCUGAUUUCAGCCCUGGCAGGACUCCUGUUUAAACAUACUUCCCAGAAAUCUUGGGCAGCUUGCCAUGGCAUUGUGUUAAGAAAAGGAUUGGUAGACAGAGAGAUGCACUGUUGAGAUUACCCUUCAGGAAGGACUUGCUACCGACUACAGGGGACAGGAAUCAGCAGACAUCCUCCAGCCAUCAGCUUCUUCAGGAUCUACCUCAGCGUCAAGGAACCACCUGACCUGAGGUCUCAUUCUUCCUUGGGCAGACUACAUCUUAUAACAAAGUGAGGUAAGGGCAUAAAAACCGCUCAGGUGGGGUCACUGAGGGAUACUCUGACAGGUAAUACUAACUCGAGAACUCCCCACCAAGCUGACUCUUGGUUUAGUGUGCAUUGCAUUAGUGAUCUUGAAAGGCAAUAGCAAGGAAGAAAGCUCCUGCCCAGAGCUUUGAGCAUUGCCCCUGGUUAUCCAUUUUAUGGAUAUCCAUUUUGUGAGAAAAGAUAAUUGGCCAAGGUUAGAAUAUAUAUGGACACAUGGACAGGUGUAAAUGGCCUGGCAGGCUGGUCAGUGAUGUGGAAAGAAAGGCAUUGGAAGACCAGAGGCAGGAGUUUUGGCUACAGGCAUAUGAAUGUGCAUUUGGAAGUAGGCACAAUGUAUCAUUGUACAACAGAUGAACAGCCACCUGAGAGUACCUACCAUCAGAAAGGCACUAAGCAGCCAAGGAGACAAAAUGAUUAGUUAGUUGAUAUCAACCAGCUUCUUUCAUCAGCAACCCCAGUGUUGGUGUGAUAGGCACAUGAGCGAUGUGGCCAAGGUGGCAGAGAUGGAGAUUACGCACAAGUCCUACGGCAUGGACUCCCACUGACCAAGGCUGACGAGCUACUGAAAUGGCAUGGCAAUGGAUGUUGGAUGAUCCAGCAGAAGAAAUAAAACAAUGAACUCUUGACAUAGCACCAAUCCUUGACAAGAUGAGUUGACCACAUCAGGCCUAUUCUGUUCUAGAUAAACCAGUGGUUCAUUCUCACAGGAACAGACACAAUAUUUUGGGUUAGUAUUAGCCUUUAUUACCUUUGAAAUUUAAGCAACGACCACGAUUUGAAUGCUUACAGCAUGAUAUGCUAGUGUGGGAUUCCUAACAUUGUAUCAACCCAGAAGACCCACUUUAUAGCAAAGGAGGGCUGGAGGUGUUCUUGUGUUGAGCAACAGUGCACUCUCCUAGGUGAUACCUCUCAGUCCCAUGGCAUAAUUUGUGACACUAUUUUACAACUGUUGGUUCAUAAAUACAUACUAGGCAUUCCUGAUCCAAGUGUCUUGUUUUCCCAGCUCUCUAGAGCAGGUUUUUGGACAAGAAGAUAGUCACCCCUAUUUUAACGCCCUGCUCCUGCCAGAGGACAAUUCUGUACUAUUCUGUGCAAUAGUGCUUAUCAAAUUAGCAUUAACAGCUUAGGAAUGAUUAGAAUAAUAAUAGUAAUCAUUAAAAUUUAGGAAACAUUUGGGGAUUUGAAGUUAGGACUCAAAAUUCAUUAGGUUUAUUGAUAUAAUUUAUCAGUCAUAAAACAAGAUCUUACAUGAGUUCUGUGCACACUUGUUUUUCCAUAAAUGUACUUGUGAUAAUGGACAAUAAUGAAAAAAUAUGCCCAGGGAUUCUGGAGACAUGGCUUAAAAUCAGAUGCAAUGACUUUGACUUUUCUUCAUGCCUCAUGUCUCAUUUUAAAAUUUUAUGUAAAUUUUGUCUUUUUAUUUUAUAAUAUAUCCAUUUAUGUCUUGUUAUAAAACAAUCUAUCUCCAAAUCUUAAUAAAAAUAAAUGUUCAAAGAAGAUGUGCCAUAUUGCCCCUUUGUCCUCAUUAUUUUCCUUCAUACCAUCACAUCUCCUUGGUGAAUCCUUGGACUCCUAGAAACUACUCGGAAAUGGAACAAAGAUAAAAGUAGCAAGAAUGCAGAGGACUGAUCACUGGAGAAUACUUGUUCAAACAGAGGAAACAGAAAGAGAAGCUAUAAAGAAGGCUGAGAAUGCAUAGUUAGAAGGAUAAGAAGAGAUUACAGACAGAGAAACUGAGAAAGGACAGAGUUUAAACUACAGUGUCAGAUAAAGCAGGAGUCAACUUGUGAACUUUGAAAAAAGCAGAAAUAGAAGCCAUAAUAAUGUGGGUUAAAGAAUGAGUGGAAAGAUAUGUAAGGUUGACUAAAAUUAAAAACUCUGCAGUGGUAAAAAGAUAAGAGUCAACAACAAAGGAGGGGCAACAAAUAGAUGAGAGUAAGGAAGGAGGAACUAAAAGAGCAUGUUCCCCCUGAAUCUAAAAUAAAAAUUGGAAUUACUAAAAAAAGAAGUGAAUACAGUCAAUGACUAAGCAAUAUCAUUAGAUAUUGAUUAUUAAGCCAGGGUCCAUUUUAUAAAUGAAAGAUAGAGAAUAUAAAUAUAAUAGGAAUGAAACUGUUCUUGUGUGUCAUCACAUUUUCCCCCUGUGAAGGAAA
rnacentral:lncRNA from 1 species